CGAAUGCUGACAUAAGUAACGAUAAAGCGGGUGAAAAGCCCGCUCGCCGGAAGACCAAGGGUUCCUGUCCAACGUUAAUCGGGGCAGGGUGAGUCGACCCCUAAGGCGAGGCCGAAAGGCGUAGUCGAUGGGAAACAGGUUAAUAUUCCUGUACUUGGUGUUACUGCGAAGGGGGGACGGAGAAGGCUAUGUUGGCCGGGCGACGGUUGUCCCGGUUUAAGCGUGUAGGCUGGUUUUCCAGGCAAAUCCGGAAAAUCAAGGCUGAGGCGUGAUGACGAGGCACUACGGUGCUGAAGCAACAAAUGCCCUGCUUCCAGGAAAAGCCUCUAAGCAUCAGGUAACAUCAAAUCGUACCCCAAACCGACACAGGUGGUCAGGUAGAGAAUACCAAGGCGCUUGAGAGAACUCGGGUGAAGGAACUAGGCAAAAUGGUGCCGUAACUUCGGGAGAAGGCACGCUGAUAUGUAGGUGAAGCGACUUGCUCGUGGAGCUGAAAUCAGUCGAAGAUACCAGCUGGCUGCAACUGUUUAUUAAAAACACAGCACUGUGCAAACACGAAAGUGGACGUAUACGGUGUGACGCCUGCCCGGUGCCGGAAGGUUAAUUGAUGGGGUCAGCGCAAGCGAAGCUCUUGAUCGAAG
rnacentral:rRNA from 1 species